AGACAUGAACCACUGGCUGAGAAACAUCCUGAUUCUGACUCUCUGGCUAGAGUGUAAAGGAGAAGACAGAGUGACCCAGCCAGCAGGAGAUGUCAUUGCUGCUGAAGGAGACACAGUUACACUUGGCUGUACUUUUGAGACCAGUGACAGAAGUCCAACUUUGUUCUGGUACAAACAAGAAGUAAAUGAGUCUCCUAAGUACAUGCUGAAAAGUUACUCAAAAACAACAGAUUUUGCUGCAGAGUUCACGAAAGACAGAUUUAAUGCUACAAUCAAGGAUAAGUCAGUUCCUCUGAAGAUCCAGAAGCUUCAGCUGUCUGACUCUGCUGUGUACUACUGUGCUCUGCAGCCCACAGUGACAGGAAACACCAAAACUCUGUACAAAAACCUUUGGAGCAAAGACAACAGAAUACUCCACAACGUCCACUAGAGGGAGUCACACACUGUUAAACUUCAGUUUAUCAUACAGUCUGGAUUCAUUGCACUGAUGAUGAAAACUAGAAGAAAAAUGAGGCAUUGACAAUAAAAGGAGAGUGUUUGUAGCUCUGACAUACUGACAAUAAGGAGAGUGA